GUCUCAUAGUGCAUCCCUCCCAUAGUGGGUGGCAUCAUGCAGGCUCCUGAUGAGUUUCCAUUCUUGGGCUUCAGAUAUUAGAACCUUGUCAUCCUUUUUAUAUUAGCUUGUGCUUCCUUCCUUAUAGCCCCGUUUCUCAGCCUUUUCUUAUUCUUUUGGGGAAUAUUGGGAAAAGCUGGGGAGCUCAGGAGGGCCAAUCACUAGGGCAAUAACUUGCUCAGGCUUCUGCAGUCAAGCUGCCCGUUUUGUGGUUUGAUCAACUUUGCUGUUCCUCUGGCUCACAAAAGACUCAUCCCUCUGACGGCUCCUCUAGCGGAUCACUGCUACCUGGGUUCCUAUCUCUGUAAAAUUGCUCCCAUUAGGAAACCAACUUCAGGACUGUCAGGAAGUUCUUCUGGAAGAUCAGCCCUGCUGAGGUACAAUAUGUAGGAAUAAGAAUGCUGGGUCAAAUGGUCUUCUUAUCAAUCUAGGACUCCAGUGGCUUUCUGCAGAGCGAGCGAGGAUUUAUGGAUGUGUCUCUUACACUGACUCUGUGAGAACAGUAUACCAAAGUAAAUGAGGAAAAAUCAGUUAAUAUUCUAAGUGAUUUAUCUAUUGUAUACCAAAUGCUCAGAUGUUAGUUCUAUCGGGGAGCAUACCGCAAUAAACGUAAUAAUAAUGGAGGACGCAUUUUUCCCAUUCUGUAGUCAUUGCCAACUCCGUAUGGGAUAGUAAGUCAAGAUGGAAAUGGAAUCCACCCUGGGUACAUGAUUUUAUAAUACUUGUUCACUUUUCCCUCUGUUAAAGAUUUAGACCGGAAUUGUCAUAAUGGAUGUUAUUUUUCAAAUAAUACAAUCUAUUCAUGAUGAUUCUACUACCUAGUUUUGAAAUCUGUCUCUAUAAAGUUUAUAUUGGAAUAUAAAUUGGCCUUUCAAGUGAUACUAUUUGCUUUGCAGCAUUUUUGCCUGAGGUCUUCUUUAAAUCUAAAAUCUGUAUAGAGACUUAAGAGGGCUGCAUUUUAAAAUGCCAUCUGCUUUAAUAUGAUAUUUAGCUUUUCUUCCUUAAUGAAAACAUUUUCCAUUUCUACUCAAGUCUGAAGUUUUUAAAUUAUCAUAAUUAUACGUGUUAAGGUACAUUAUGAUGAAAAGUCAUUUUAUUAAACAAUAUUUUUCUCAGUGCUAAGAAUGACAUAUAUAUUUCAAAUCUGAAAGUUCACAAUAUUCCUCCUCAUAAGAGAAUUGAAGCCAGCAAAGAUUAAAAAGAGGCAAUCUAAUUUAAUGGUUUGCAAUUAGAGUUGAUGAAGAAAUGUGUUAAUCAGUAAAAAAAAAAAAACUCCGAUAACUUCCUGUUGAAAAAAAAAAUGAAAUCAAAGAAAGUAAAAUGAGAAUUCUCGCCUUCAACUUGUUCUUUCCCCUACUGACAGAGUGGAAAAGCUAUUAGCCAGACAUAGAUUUAAGGAGUCUCAUUCUAAAAGUACAUCCAAAUUGUUUGAAAUUACUCCUUUGUAAAACUCAACAAAACUAUGAGUGAAACUGUUAAGGCUGUUGUGAAUAUAAACACUAAAUAUGAUAUCAUAGCUUAUGAAAACAGAAAUAAAAUGAAUCUUUAAAUGAACUCUAUCACUGUAAACUGGAGAGCAUAUUCUAUCUCAGUAAGUUGCAUCAGUGUGCUGUCUUGGAUUAUGAAAGGUCAUAACAGGAUUUUUUUUUUUGCCAUAUUAUGAAAUAAUGUACUCUUCAAAAUAUGAAAUGCUAUUAUUGCAAAAGACAUAAUCUAGCUUUCAUCUGUGACCUGUGACUCAGUUUCAUUAUAAUGGGAAAAUGAUGAUUUUAUAUAUAGUUAGUGAAAUUGUAUACAAAUAGAACAUGUGAAGUUAGAGAAUGUUUGACCUUGCACUGUCAGUAGACCGUAUUCAAGUGAUAAAUGAAACUCAUUGACAAACAAUGUAACAAAGCAUCUGGAAAACAGAGUAGUUCAAGUUCCCCAAAAGGUAAGAAAUGCUUUUCUCAUUGAAUAAAAAAUUGUGUGAAAUGGAGAUAGAAAUGAUUUGGAGCUAACAGGGAAAGUAACAAGCCACUGAGCAGGACCUGUGUAGCAUGUUUUAUAGGUUGUUAUAAUGACAAUAGACAGCUUGAUGAAGGGAGUAACAAAGAACUUAAGGUAUCUAAGAAAAUCUUUUUAUUGGAUUCAAGAACUGAUUUUGAUAUGGUUUGAAAAAAAUCAAGCAUAUAAUUUUUUUAGUCUACUAACUUGAGGGAAAUCAUUAAAAUAAAAACAAGGGUGACCUUUAGCACUCCCAUUCUGGCUAUAGCACUUUAUUUGACCUAUUAUUCUAUCAUGGAGUCAGAAAGAACUGAUCUCACACUACCAGCCUCCGGAUUUAAAAGGAAAAGCGUCACCACCACAGGACAAUACUAAUUGUCUAUUUUGACCACAUGGACCAUACUUCUCAGGUCAUACCUGUGAUCCCCAAAAUCCUUAAAGAACUCCCCUUUACUUUCAAACAUGUUCCAUUUUGAAAAAUAAGGUCACUAUAUAUUUGGGAACCCUGAGGCUGGCAUUUCUAAAUACUAAUCACAUGCCCCUUUUCCAAUUUGUCUACACUGUGUUUCUUAUUCUGUAUAUCUGUUACGGUCAUACUGCC